GACAUGCAGAGAACUUUCCAGAGAUGGAUUGGUGCCUUCGGGAACUCUGACACAGGUGCUGCAUGGCUGUCGUCAGCUCGUGUCGCGAGAUGUUGGGUUAAGUCCGUAACGAGCGCAACCCUUGUCCUUAGUUACCAGCACGUUAUGGUGGGCACUCUAAGGAGACUGCCGGUGACAAACCGGAGGAAGGUGGGGAUGACGUCAAGUCAUCAUGGCCCUUACGGCCUGGGCUACACACGUGCUACAAUGGUCGGUACAAAGGGUUGCCAAGCCGCGAGGUGGAGCUAAUCCCAUAAAACCGAUCGUAGUCCGGAUCGCAGUCUGCAACUCGACUGCGUGAAGUCGGAAUCGCUAGUAAUCGUGAAUCAGAAUGUCACGGUGAAUACGUUCCCGGGCCUU
rnacentral:rRNA from 1 species